rnacentral:rRNA from 1 species
UACGUAGGUGGCAAGCGUUGUCCGGAUUUAUUGGGUUUAAAGGGUGCGUAGGCGGCUUUGUAAGUCAGCGGUGAAAUACUCUAGCUUAACUAGAGGGGUGCCAUUGAUACUGCGGAGCUUGAGUACAGAUGAGGUAGGCGGAAUUGACGGUGUAGCGGUGAAAUGCAUAGAUAUCGUCAAGAACACCGAUAGCGAAGGCAGCUUACUGGGCUGUAACUGACGCUGAUGCACGAAAGUGUGGGGAGCAAACAGG